UGGGGAAUUUUGGACAAUGGGGGCAACCCUGAUCCAGCCAUCCCGCGUGUGCGAUGAAGGCCUUCGGGUUGUAAAGCACUUUUGGCAGGGAAGAAACAGCCUGGGAUAAUACCCCGGGCGACUGACGGUACCUGCAGAAUAAGCACCGGCUAACUACGUGCCAGCAGCCGCGGUAAUACGUAGGGUGCAAGCGUUAAUCGGAAUUACUGGGCGUAAAGCGUGCGCAGGCGGUUCGGAAAGAAAGGUGUGAAAUCCAGGGCUUAACCUUGGAACUGCACUUUAACUACCGAGCUAGAGUACGUCAGAGGGGGGUAGAAUUCCACGUGUAGCAGUGAAAUGCGUAGAGAUGUGGAGGAAUACCGAUGGCGAAGGCAGCCCCUGGGAUGAUACUGACGCUCAUGCACGAAAGCGUGGGGAGCAAACAGGAUUAGAUACCCUGGUAGUCCACGCCCUAAACGAUGUCAACUAGCUGUUGGGGUUUAUUAACCUUAGUAGCGCAGCUAACGCGUGAAGUUGACCGCCUGGGGAGUACGGUCGCAAGAUUAAAACUCAAA
rnacentral:rRNA from 1 species